rnacentral:rRNA from 1 species
UAGCCNGUCUCCGAAUCAUCUGUUUAGAGUUUGAUCAUGGCUCACAUUGAACNUCUGGCGGCAGGCCUAACACAUGCAAGUCGAACGGUAACAGGAAGCAGCUUGCUGCUUUGCUGACGAGUGGCGGACGGGUGAGUAAUGUCUGGGAAACUGCCUGAUGGAGGGGGAUAACUACUGGAAACGGUAGCUAAUACCGCAUAACGUCGCAAGACCAAAGAGGGGGACCUUCGGGCCUCUUGCCAUCGGAUGUGCCCAGAUGGGAUUAGCUAGUAGGUGGGGUAACGGCUCACCUAGGCGACGAUCCCUAGCUGGUCUGAGAGGAUGACCAGCCACACUGGAACUGAGACACGGUCCAGACUCCUACGGGAGGCAGCAGUGGGGAAUAUUGCACAAUGGGCGCAAGCCUGAUGCAGCCAUGCCGCGUGUAUGAAGAAGGCCUUCGGGUUGUAAAGUACUUUCAGCGGGGAGGAAGGUGUUGAGGUUAAUAACCUCAGCAAUUGACGUUACCCGCAGAAGAAGCACCGGCUAACUCCGUGCCAGCAGCCGCGGUAAUACGGAGGGUGCAAGCGUUAAUCGGAAUUACUGGGCGUAAAGCGCACGCAGGCGGUGCUGUCCAGUCNG